rnacentral:rRNA from 1 species
UACAGAGGGUGCGAGCGUUGUUCGGAAUUAUUGGGCGUAAAGGGCGCGUAGGCGGCGCCACAAGUCACUUGUGAAAACUCUGGGCUCAACUCAGAGCCUGCAAGCGAAACUGUGGUGCUGGAGUAUGGGAGAGGUGCGUGGAAUUCCCGGUGUAGCGGUGAAAUGCGUAGAUAUCAGGAGGAACACCAAUGGCGAAGGCAGCACUCUGGGAUGGUACUGACGCUGAGACGCGAAAGCGUGGGGAGCAAACAGG